CAGUCGUACCUAUGGGUAAUCAGCCUUUUGGGUGUGAUUCUGUGGAGCGUGAGGAGUUUAACACCUUCAUGCUCUGCAUAUUCGUGCUCUUGGGUGUACUUGCCCGUGUGGUUGGUUAACAUCAAUUUUGG
rnacentral:rRNA from 1 species